rnacentral:rRNA from 1 species
UACGUAGGGAGCAAGCGUUGUCCGGAAUCAUUGGGCGUAAAGCGCGCGUAGGUGGCUUCGUAAGUCCGUUGUGAAAGCAAAGGCUCAACCUUUGAAAGCCGAUGGAUACUGCGGAGCUAGAGUACGGAAGAGGCGAGUGGAAUUCCUGGUGUAGCGGUGGAAUGCGCAGAUAUCAGGAGGAACACCAAUAGCGAAGGCAGCUCGCUGGGACGUUACUGACACUGAGGCGCGAAAGCGUGGGGAGCGAACAGG